rnacentral:lncRNA from 1 species
AAACUGACUUCAGUUACACAAACGCUUACCAUCACCUGCAGCCCUUCCAUGCCACAACCAAAAGCUUCCUGGACAUACACCCACCAGAAGAAACACUGCCUUGUGGGAUGAAGCAGGACAUCCAGGUGACCUUCAUGCUCAGUCGGGAUGACCUGGGAGAAAGCACCAACCGUAUAAGUUUUGCGUAUUAUGUCACUGGGAGGGCUGGAAUUGUUGUCAGGGGCCAGAGGAAUGUCCAGGUUGGGAAGCUGAACAAGUUGCAGGGCUCCUUCUCCAUCCCUUUGACUUUCACUGCUGACUUCACCCCAUCACCUUCCUUAGUGGUGUAUGCCAUCUUCCCCAGUGGAGGG